rnacentral:rRNA from 1 species
AAACCAAGAAAUUUAGUCAUUCUUUUAUGGUAAAAAGACAGUUAAGUAAGGGUUAAAUCAUUAGAUCUUUAGUAUAGGGGUAAAAUCUAAAUGCUAAGAGUUAUACCUAAAAUGGUUUGUUUAGACACUGAAUCUGUGACAACUUUAAGGGAAACUGGGAUUGGGUACCCCAUUAUUUUUAGUUAUAAAUUAAUUUUAAAUUUACCAGAGUACUACGAAUAAAAAAUUUAAAACUCAAAGGGCUUGGCGGUGUUUUAGACCUCUCAGGGGAACCUGUCUCAUAAUCGACAAUCCACGUUAAACCUAACCCUUUAUGGCAAUUCAGCUUGUAUACCAUUGUCGUCAGGUAACUUCUUAAAAUAUAAUAGUUAGCUAGAAAAUUUUGUUAAUUAAAACGUCAGAUCAAGGUGCAGCUAAUAAAAGGGAGAGGAUGGGUUACAAUUAUAUAUUUAUAAUUACGGAAAAUAUUUGAAAUGAAUAUUUAUAAGGAGGACUUGAAAGUAAUUUUAAUUAUAUAAAUAAAAUGAAUAAGGCUCUGAAACGUG